AUUUUUAACCAUUAUUGUAUUAGAAUUCAGAAAAUAAAAAUGAUUUUGAUACUAUUGUUUUAUCUGCACCUUAUUUCCUUUUUGACGUCAUGUAAAGCUGAAGAAAAGCCUCUUUUACAAGAAAGGUUAAGACCUUUGCCUUUAGAUGAGAUGAAAAACAGAAUCCACACUAAAUUUGAAGAUGUUCCUUUAAGAGUACCCAGGAGUACAGGGAAGAAGGGAUUUAUUGCUUUAUCAACGUGCGUAAUAGCAUCUUUAUGUGGGUAAUAAAUAACGAGAUUUUCUUAAUGGAAAGAUCAUAAUUUUUAACCUUUUAAUAUUGUAUAACACAUAUAUUCAUAAUUAAAUAUAAGUAAAUUUAAGAACAUAAACACAAUAAUUAGAACGCGCCUUGUAACAUUGAUCAUUUAGGCACAGGAAUAGUGAUAUAUAAAGCACCUUGUAUACGCUGUAAAUGUAAAUUAAAAAAACGUAAUUUUAGAGAUAAUAUUUAAUAAAACUGUUAUUUUAUA